rnacentral:rRNA from 1 species
UGCAUAUCCAAAUAAGCGGAGGAAAAGAAACCAACAGGGAUUGCCCUAGUAACGGCGAGUGAAGCGGCAGCAGCUCAAAUUUGAAAUCUGGCUCCCCCCCGCGGGGUGCCCGAGUUGUAAUUUGCAGAGGAUGCCUCUGGCGCGGCGCCUUCCGAGUUCCCUGGAACGGGACGCCAUAGAGGGUGAGAGCCCCGUAUGGUCGGCCGCCAAGCCUCUGUGAGGCUCCUUCGACGAGUCGAGUAGUUUGGGAAUGCUGCUCAAAAUGGGAGGUAUAUGUCUUCUAAAGCUAAAUACCGGCCAGAGACCGAUAGCGCACAAGUAGAGUGAUCGAAAGAUGAAAAGCACUUUGAAAAGAGGGUUAAACAGUACGUGAAAUUGUUGAAAGGGAAGCGCUCGCGACCAGACUCGGGCCCGGCGGAUCAUCCGGCGUUCCUCGCCGGUGCACUCCGCCGUCGCCCGGGCCAGCAUCGGCUCGACGCGGGGGAUAAAGGCGGCGGGAACGUGGCCCCUCCGGGGGUGUUAUAGCCCGCCGUGCAAUGCCCCGCGCCGGGCCGAGGACCGCGCCCUAGGCAAGGAUGCUGGCGUAAUGGUCGCUAGCGACCCGUCUUGAAAACACGGACCA